AUUGAACGCUGGCGGCAGGCUUAGCACAUGCAAGUCGAGCGGAUGAGGGGAGCUUGCUCUCUGAUUCAGCGGCGGACGGGUGAGUAAUGCCUAGGAAUCUGCCUGGUAGUGGGGGACGACGUUUCGAAAGGAGCGCUAAUACCGCAUACGUCCUACGGGAGAAAGCAGGGGACCUUCGGGCCUUGCGCUAUCAGAUGAGCCUAGGUCGGAUUAGCUAGUUGGUGGGGUAAAGGCUCACCAAGGCGACGAUCCGUAACUGGUCUGAGAGGAUGAUCAGUCACACUGGAACUGAGACACGGUCCAGAAUCCUACGGGAGGCAGCAGUGGGGAAUAUUGGACAAUGGGCGAAAGCCUGAUCCAGCCAUGCCGCGUGUGUGAAGAAGGUCUUCGGAUUGUAAAGCACUUUAAGUUGGGAGGAAGGGCAGUAAGUUAAUACCUUGCUGUUUUGACGUUACCGACAGAAUAAGCACCGGCUAACUUCGUGCCAGCAGCCGCAGUAACAC
rnacentral:rRNA from 1 species